GGAAGCGCUGGCGGUGCCGGCAGAUGGGCGCCCUCUCCCGUCUUUCAGAGACCACUCAGUCCAGUCAAGUCUGCAAGUCGGUUAUCUUGGGGGCUCUGGCGGUCGAAGUGGCGUUAACUCGCGUUGGUGCGAGAGAAAUUCUUUGCUGGCCAAAUCUCUUGCUGGCCAAUGAUCAACUCUUUCCAAGCUGAGUUUUCUUUACUGUUAUACAGGACUAUCAUGAAGAUGCAUUGAAAGUUACACACACUGGAGGAGUGUGAUAUCCCUUUCAGUUGGUAAUCUUCCUGUCGUGAAAGUUGCUUGCCAGCUUUACUUUUGAAUGAACACAGUAAACACCAAGGUGAAAAUAUCAAUGAAAAAAAUCUACUCUCCAUACUAUGUAUAUUUCCCUCUCUUCUCAGGAUUGAGAUAUGGAAAGAUCCUUCUGUCCUUUACCACACAGUUCCUUUGUCAGGAAUUCCAGGAUUUCCUCCAAGUUUGCAAAGGUAAGAAGAAGAGGUUCCAGGGAAGAAAACUGAGAACUGAUUGAGAAGUAUGAAGAGGAUGGAGUGCAGAAGAUGGGGAGAAGCAUGUUCAGUCGAGUGUGAUAAUCCCUAUUGCCCAAAGUGUCAGGAGUUGAGUCGGAGUAACUGAAGCUGACAAGUCUGUUGAUGAUAGGUAAUCUGGAGGAGGAAAGCAGUAUCAAGAUACAAGUCUGAGAAAACUCAGGUCUCAAGAAAUUGUGCCAUCAAAGGGAGAAGAGAACUGUGGCAGCAAGUAAAAUCUUUUAUGAAGAUUGAUGGUGAAGGCUAAUUGAAAAUGCCAGUGUUGGAACCCCACCCCCCUCCUCCUUCCCAUUCAUCCUGAGCCCAAGAGAUCUCCAUAAAAUUGACCUGGAUGCCUUUCAUUCAAGGUUCUGACACCUAGUAGAUGCUCAUGAAUAUUUGUUGAAUGAAGGACUGAAGAUAGAAGAGAGACAGAUGAAAUGAGAUCAUGAGUCGCUUCAGUCAUGUCCGACUCUGUGUGACCCCAGAGACGACAGCCCACCAGGCUCCCCCAUCCCUGGGAUUCUCCAGGCAAGAACACUGGAGUGGGUUGCCAUUUCCUUCUCCAAUGCAUGAAAGUGAAAAGUGAAAGUGAAGUUGCUCAGUCAUGUCCGACUCUUAGCGACCCCAUGGACUGCAGCCUACCAGGCUCCUCCGUCCAUGGGAUUUUCCAGCUCCUGAGUUUGGAGGCUAGUAAUCAGAUAUCAGAAAAAGCAAGAGACUUCCAGAAAAACAUCUAUUUCUGCUUUAUUGACUAUGCCAAAGCCUUUGACUGUGUGGAUCACAAUAAACUGUGGAAAAUUCUGAAAGAGAUGGGAAUACCAGACCACCUGACCUGCCUCUUGAGAAA
ensembl:lncRNA